GCGGACGUGGUGAAACCGGUAAACACGUAGGAUUUAGGAUCCUAUGCCGAAAGGUUUGUGGGUUCGACUCCCACCGUCCGCA
rnacentral:tRNA from 1 species